rnacentral:lncRNA from 1 species
UUUUUUUUUUUUUUUUUGACCUGACUUGAAAGAUGUCUGACUGCCUCUCCCUAGGGACUUUAUCUAGGAGAUGGACCCCUUAAAAAAGGGAGAAACUCUGGCUUUUACUGUGAGAGUCUGGAUAAUGUCCAAAGGCACACAGCCUCUGGAAAUUUAAAAUAAAAGGCUCAACAGCGCUUUCCAAAGACAGGGAAAUGGCUCAAACUGCAGGAUUAGGUCGACGUCUUUCAUAAUUAUUUUCUAUUAAAAACUUUCCCGGAAAUGUGUUUGUGACACCAGCCGGGAGCCUCCUUUCUUCUAGGGAUGCUGGCCAGCUCUAGUAUUGUUAUUCUCCGCGAGGAUAUUUUCCUUCUGUGGCCUUUAGAAAAUAAUGGACGACUCGACUUUCUUGUUUUGACUAACGAAACCUCUCUUGGAGAGACUGGAGUACACAGAUAGAACCUAGAAAUUAUAUUCUCUUCAAGAUCCAUGAAAGAGAACCUGACUGCUUGCUUUGGUCUGAGAGUUCAGACAUCUCUUCUCUUAAGAAAGUCUUCAUUUCCGUUUGCUGAGUCCUCCUGUUUUGUCAUCGCUGGGCCCUGUAAGAAGUUUGCCAGGAGGUCCCCAGAAGUAGAAGGACCAUGCUCUCUAUUCUAAGCUGGCCUUGAACUCAUGACGAAUCAGAGGAUGGCCUCAAUCUGGGAUGGACAUUUCCAGCAGAGAAAUGCUAUCUAGACCAAAGACAUUGUUUUACUAUACAGCCAACGGUUCUUUAAAUGCCCGGCAACCCUCUCUUCUCCGGUGCUUGAUGGUGUGUGUGUGAAGAAGUGUUCCUAAACACCGGCACAAAAGAGUGGGCAUACAUCAAGCAUACAAGAGGUGGAGGAGAGAGGGGGCCUUGCCGAUGCCUCAGAUGAGGUGGUGGAUGAGAAAAGCAGGGGUGGAUCAGAGUAGACACAGCACUCAAAGUCUGGUUCCAUUUCCCAGAAGUAAUCGUUCAGCUUCUACGUGGUUUGUCAUUGCCAAAGUCAAGACUCAAACCCAGGCCCUGACCACCAGAGACUGUCAGUUUUCAAGCUUAAAAAAAAGAAAAGAAAAGAAAUACUUAUUUUGAUUUUCAUUUAAUUUCAUAUUACGCCCAGGAACUAUUUUAAGGAAUUUUGAGUUAUAACCUGUGACCAAAAGUCAAGUAGCAGUUUUUCUAAUGCGUCUGCAUUUGCUAUGAAGAAUCAAAACCAUGAGAGUAUUUUCAUUGCCUGGCACUUUAUAACAAGGUCAGAUUUGGUAUUAACAUGAAAGAACAUUUGAUGGUUUUUAAAGCUUCAAUAUUUAUUUUGUUCUAAAAUAAAGUACUUUUCCCCCUCUCUAUAUUCUUUGUUAUGCAUAAAGUAUUUCUAGGGUU